rnacentral:misc_RNA from 1 species
UACGAAGGCCCCGAGCGUUAUCCGGAUUUACUGGGCGUAAAGCGUUAAAAGGCGGCAUUGUAAGUCGGGUGUUAAAGCCCGUGGCUCAACCACGGAUCUGCAUCCGAAACUGCAUUGCUUGAGGACGGAAGAGGUCAGCGGAAUUGCUGGUGUAGCAGUAAAAUGCGUUAAUAUCAGCAGGAACACCAAUAGCGAAGGCAGCUGACUGGAACGUUUCUGACGCUAAAUAACGAAAGCGUGGGUAGCGAAUGGG